rnacentral:lncRNA from 1 species
GGAGUCAGGUGCAAAUUGGCCUGUGCCCGUGCAACAUUCAACACAGGAAUGUUUAUGAUGAAACUGUUACCAGAGCACAAAAUUGUUUACAACAGCACAAAGUUUUUCAUAGAUCUAGCCUCAUAAUUUUGUUGUCAAAGUGCACCAGAUUGAUGCAUUGAACUUUAAAAUGUGCAAAAUGUUCUUAUAUAUAAAAUAUAUUCCCCCGGGGAGCAUGGCCCGGACCCUCCUAGGGGGUUCGCAUCGUUGUCACCUUUUUCAUCCCUGAUGAGUUUGCACCCCUGUGUAUAGGUUGUCAUGUCAGGGCCCUGUCAACAAAUGCGUAAAACACCUCAAAUAAAGUAUCAACAUGCACAGAAGACUCAAGAACAACUGUCAACUAUUAUCUUUCAGAUGUAAAAAAAAAAAAGUAAUAAUUUCCCAACAUUACUGUUGUAUUUUAAAGUCAAGAGACAUACUGUGUGAUAACAAAAGUGUGAUUUCUUGCACAUAAAGCGCUGUAAGAGAUGCUGACCUAAUGAUUUUCUUGUAUUUGCAUCUAGAGGGAGAACACUGAGCAUGAAAACUUUGCUCCAAUGUUCUUGAUUUGUCCCAGCACUGGGAAACGGUUUUCAGAACCAGUGCGAAUUGCAAACCUACCAGACAUUUGUGAACGAUCUGUUGUUCUGCAGGCAAUAGAAGAUGGGGAAAAAAUGCCAAACAGCACCCUGGAAGACAUGAGGCAGUCAAUCAGGAGAGACGCCUCCAUGGAAAAGAUUUUACUCAGCAUUCCACCGAUGAUGAAGACAUUUCCUCUGUGGCUCUCCUAUGGACAUGUGCCUGGUAGCAACUUUAGAGUAGCCCCUGAGCAGUCAUUUUCUCAGAUGAAAGAGGAUUUGGAUUUAUAUGCACACUUGCAGGUCACUCCUCCAUUGCAGGCAUUGCAUUCUUUUGUUGAAGCACCAUGCCUGAUGUACCUCACGGAGAACAACCUUGGUGUGUAUACUCAGAACUCCAAGGGAGGCAUGGGAGUUUUUCUUUUCAAUCCCCUCACUGGGAAACAAGAGGCCACGGAUCUAAAGAAGCUGGCAAACCAGUAAGUAUUGUUUCCUUGUGUUGCG